AUUGAACGCUGGCGGCAGGCUUAACACAUGCAAGUCGAGCGAGCGGCGGACGGGUGAGUAAUGUCUGGGAAACUGCCUGAUGGAGGGGGAUAACUACUGGAAACGGUAGCUAAUACCGCAUACCAUCGGAUGUGCCCAUAUGGGAUUAGCUAGUAGGUGGGGUAAUGGCUCACCUAGGCGACGAUCCCUAGCUGGUCUGAGAGGAUGACCAGCCACACUGGAACUGAGACACGGUCCAGACUCCUACGGGAGGCAGCAGUGGGGAAUAUUGCACAAUGGGCGCAAGCCUGAUGCAGCCAUGCCGCGUGUGUGAAGAAGGCCUUAGGGUUGUAAAGCACUUUCAGCGAGGAGGCGUUACCCGCAGAAGAAGCACCGGCUAACUCCGUGCCAGCAGCCGCGGUAAUAC
rnacentral:rRNA from 1 species